rnacentral:rRNA from 1 species
UAGGGAUACCCGCUGAACUUAAGCAUAUCAAUAAGCGGAGGAAAAGAAACCAACAGGGAUUGCCUCANUAACUGCGAGUGAAGCGGCAAAAGCUCAAAUUUGAAAUCUGGCGUCUCUGACGUCCGAAUUGUAAUUUGGAGAGGCAACUUCNGUGAUGGCGCCGUCCUAAGUUCCUUGGNACAGGAUGACACAGAGGGUGA